UACGGGGGGAGCAAGCGUUGUUCGGAUUCACUGGGUUUAAAGGGUGCGUAGGCGGGCAGGUAAGUCCGUGGUGAAAUCUCUGAGCUUAACUCAGAAACUGCCAUGGAUACUAUUUGUCUUGAAUAUUGUGGAGGUAAGCGGAAUAUGUCAUGUAGCGGUGAAAUGCUUAGAUAUGACAUAGAACACCAAUUGCGAAGGCAGCUUACUACACAGUUAUUGACGCUGAGGCACGAAAGCGUGGGGAUCAAACAGG
rnacentral:rRNA from 1 species